AAGUCGUAACAAGGUUUCCGUAGGUGAACCUGCGGAAGGAUCAUUACUGAAGAAAUGGUAGGGUUGAUGCUGGCUCUUCGGAGUAUGUGCUCGCCUUAUCGCUUUUUCUACUUCUCCACCUGUGCACCUAUUGUAGAUCGUGUUGGAAAUCCUUUGUGGUUUCUCGUUCAUUUUGAACGGUUCAGAGGUCUUGCUUUUUUGGCUAGACUUCGACUCUUCACGAUCUAUGUUAUAUCAACUCUUUAAAGUCUUUGAAUGUACUAGUUGGUCUUUAUUGACCGAUAAUUUUAAAACAACUUUCAGCAACGGAUCUCUUGGCUCUC
rnacentral:misc_RNA from 1 species